ACUGCCAUGUAGCACAUUAUGAGCAUUUCACUAACGCCCUCAUCAGGUUCUCCACGGCCGCGUGACUUUCGUCCCACUUAACCACAGUCACGGGGUCAGAGCUGCCUCACUGUUUUACUAAAACCUCUAUGCUGCCACGGACCCCUGAUGCAUUUCUCAAAUGCACACAGCUAAGCAUCCUAAACUUUGAUUAAGAAAGAAAAGACAUUCUUGAGAGAAUCGAACAACACACCAUCAGACAAAAAGGACUCAAUAACGUAACAACUCUACCUGUGGCCUCAUGUCUACUUGAAAGGGGGCUUACGCUGCCUCAGGGAGCAACUGAGAUACACCUAAAAUUGCCAACAUGAACAUCACAACACUUACCCACUUCAAUUUCAAGAGCAGAAGAAGUGAGCAACUGUGAAUGAGGUUCAAACAAGACACUGCACAGUCGUGGAGAGUAGCGUGAGAUGGGACAGAUAGUUUUAGUAAAUAACAGGCCUACCGCUGCUUUCUGGUAUUGUUAGGGAUGGGGAUGGAUCAGGAAACAAUAUCAUUGCUGUUGUAAAUGCCGGAUUGGAUGGACUGGCAUCCCAACUGUGGGCAGGCUUUAUUAACUUUUUGAGGGCUGAAUAUUUUUUCCAGUUUUCUGAAAAGCACACAAACCAAUGGUUUCACACAGAAAUCAAUAUAAAACGUCUUUUGCUGCAUGUCACAGCUGGGGUCGGCACUCGUUCAGUGACUCUGGCAGCAGCAGGGGCAGCUCAGUUACCAGUAGGGAUAUGCGAUUGGCCAGGUGCCUGGCUGUCUUCGCACAGCAGUCGAAGUGGGACACAAUCUGGCUUGUCAUCGUAAGUGGCAGUCCUCCCAGGUGAACGUUGGUGUAGGCACAUUAGCUACACGAACAUGUUCUGCACCACGAUCAGCUGAUGCCUGUACCUUCAUUGUCAUUUUCGAUCUCCAGAUCACUUACAUCAAACUCCGACAACUCAGAGUCUGACUCAGCGAAUUGAUACGCAAAACGUCGUCCACAGAGUAUUUUGCUUUGCGCAUUCGCUUUGGUCUUUUGGCAGAAGUCGAUGCCAUGUGAGGGGUUGUUUGCUCUUUGUUACUCACGCAUGCCAAGAAAUCUCGGUCAAGUCAACAAAGCUAACUUUAAAGAAAGUCAAACUAAAACAUAACGGUGAGUUUUGUCACAGUUUACAGCUG